UUUUCAUGAUGCACGACAGGUGAAGGUUUCGAGUUUUGAUGUCCAAUCUGGUCAAGCUAAUUACCUCCAACUGAUCAUGGAUUGAAGGUUAACGAAAGCCAAAAUUCAGUAACAUUACACACCCCUCUGAAUGGUGAAACUGAAAACCAAAGGGAAAUGGAAUAUCAACUGUUAAACAUUCUGUUCUGUUGCAGUAAGUGAAAUGGAAAAUAGUUCUGCCCUGAAUUUGCUUGAGGUCUGCAACCAAGGUAAAGAUAUCG
rnacentral:lncRNA from 1 species